UGGUGCGGUCAGACUAGCACUAAUGCACCAGAUCCCAUCAAUACUCCACAGUCAAGUGUGCUUGGGAGAGAGUAGUAAUAGGAUGGGUGACCUCCUAGGAAGUCCUCGUGUUGCACACC
rnacentral:rRNA from 1 species